rnacentral:sRNA from 1 species
AUGAUAUUCCACAUAACUGAACAUUAAAAACAAAGAAUAAUUCUGGUGCUGGAGUAAUAAUAUAAGAAAAAUCUAAUAAGGGGCAUAAGUGAUAAUAAUUCAUUUAUCUCUCCCUCGCGAUUUUGGUCUAGGGUUUCUUCAAGUUCCUGAUCGGAUUCGGUCGGCGUAGCUCUAAUGGCUGGCUGGAGUCGUAUGAUGACUUACCGAUCCAUCAAGCGAGUCUCCAAGGUUCGGUUGAAUCAAUCUGCUUAUUCUCAAAGUGAUUGGGAUCUGGAUUCUGAAAUUGAUUCAUCGGAGAAAUUGUAAGAUUCUAAAUCUGGGAUUUUAAAAUUCGUCGUGAUUGUGUGUGUUGGUCUUGGGAUUAGGUGAAACUCGUAAUUUAACAGUGCCUGUUUUGUGUGUACUUAUAAUAGAUUCGGCUUAGCAAUUCCCUCUGCAACUUCUAAUUAUUGAC